ACUCCUGCGGGAGGCAGCAGUGGGGAAUUUUGGACAAUGGGCGAAAGCCUGAUCCAGCAAUGCCGCGUGAGUGAAGAAGGCCUUCGGGUUGUAAAGCUCUUUUGUCAGGGAAGAAACGGUGAGAGCUAAUAUCUUUUGCUAAUGACGGUACCUGAAGAAUAAGCACCGGCUAACUACGUGCCAGCAGCCGCGGUAAUACGUAGGGUGCAAGCGUUAAUCGGAAUUACUGGGCGUAAAGCGUGCGCAGGCGGUUUUGUAAGUCUGAUGUGAAAUCCCCGGGCUCAACCUGGGAAUUGCAUUGGAGACUGCAAGGCUAGAAUCUGGCAGAGGGGGGUAGAAUUCCACGUGUAGCAGUGAAAUGCGUAGAUAUGUGGAGGAACACCGAUGGCGAAGGCAGCCCCCUGGGUCAAGAUUGACGCUCAUGCACGAAAGCGUGGGGAGCAAACAGGAUUAGAAACCCCAGUAGUCCCAUG
rnacentral:rRNA from 1 species